CGGCGGACGGGUGAGUAACGCGUAGGAAUCUACCCAGUAGAGGGGGAUAGCCCGAGGAAACUCGGAUUAAUACCGCAUACGCCCUAAGGGGGAAAGCAGGGGAUCUUCGGACCUUGCGCUAUUGGAUGAGCCUGCGUUGGAUUAGCUUGUUGGUGGGGUAAAGGCCCACCAAGGCGACGAUCCAUAGCUGGUCUGAGAGGAUGAUCAGCCACACUGGAACUGAGACACGGUCCAG
rnacentral:rRNA from 1 species